rnacentral:rRNA from 1 species
CCCUUAGAUGUUCUGGGCCGCACGCGCGCUACACUGUUCGACGCAGCGAGUCUUAACCUUGACCGAAAGGUUUGGGUAAUCUUCAGCAAAGUCGAACGUGAUGGGGAUCGAUCAUUGCAAUUAUUGAUCGUGAACGAGGAAUUCCUAGUAAGUGCAAGUCAUCAGCUUGCGCUGAUUACGUCCCUGCCCUUUGUACACACCGUCCGUCGCUACUACCGAUUGAAUGGUUUAGUGAGAUCUCUGGAUUGACGCUGGCUAGGGGGCGACCCUUGGCCGGACUGUUGAGAAACUGCUCAAACUUGAUCAUUUAGAGGAAGUAAAAGCCGUAACA